UCUGCUCGAUGUUUUUUCCUCUUUAAAUCUUCAGGGUUUAUUUGGAUCACUGUGUAAUAUUUCAAACUUUACCUUUUGAUUGACUGUUGUCUCAGAAAUCUCUUUCCAUUUAUGUUAGAAUGACACUUUAGGCAGCUGGAUCCUGUGUCAUAGCCUUGCCCCAUUGUCCUGGUCCUCCCUCUCCCUCUCCCCCUCCUCCUGGUUCUACAUUUCUCCCAUCUUUCUGGCCACCACACACCAACUCCUCAUGUAUACUACUGAUCCCAUCGUCUGCCUGGGCCCUGUCUCACACUUCCUAGGUGCCAUCGACGACAGAAGCAGGAUCCAAAUUCACUGCUACCCCUAGCUCCAGACCAUGCAGAUCAUCCAUGCUGUUACCCAAAAAUCAACGGUGCCCAGGAGGGUCGAAGUAGAGAAUGUAACACCCACCCCGCUCUGCAUCUGCCCUGCUUCACAAAGAAAGACCCAAGAGAUGAGCAGUGGUGAAGUAGCCUGCAUUAACACUGUGAAGGAGCCUCAGAGGAAGAGAUCCAGACCUGACCACUAGCCCCACCAUGUGAGGAGCAAGUGUACCCCUGUAUGAGCAAGCAUUCUCAAUAUGAGCGCCAUGGUCAGGUUAAAGAGGACAACUGCUGCCCCCCUUCCCCCCCGCGAUUCAUGAGACUGAUCUGUGUGGUUCUCACCCUGGAUCAAAGAAGUUUCUUGCUGCAGAGGCUGGAAGUUAAUGAAGAGUCAAAGCUGUUCAAAUGCUGAGAAAGGAGACCAUGAAUGAUCGAUCAUCUGUGGAGGGAAUAUCUACACCAACCCUCUCCUGACAAGGCUCAGGAAACAUCAAGGAAGAGAGGGUGGAAGAGAAGAAUGCUGUAGAAGGCUGGCUUCUGGACAGGACAUGGCUAUUCUACACAACCUCACAGCAGCUUUGGUCAUGUGCUCCAGAGCUCCACAAGUCAAAAGAAUUAAAAUACCAGAACAAGAGCUGAGAAGUGGUGGACCA